rnacentral:rRNA from 1 species
CUUUUUGAUAAUAAUUUAAAGUCUAACCUGCCCUAUGAGUAUUUAAAUGGCUGCGGUACCCUGACCGUGCAAAGGUAGCAUAAUAAUUAGUUUUUUAAUUGAAAGCUGGAAUGAAAGGUUGGAUGAAAGAAUAACUGUCUCUAUUUAAAUUUAUUAGAAUUUUAUUUUUAAGUAAAAAAGCUUAAAUAAUUCUAAAAGACGAGAAGACCCUAUAGAGUUUUAUUUGUUUAUAUUAUAGAAUUUUUGGUAUUAAUAUAUUUAUAAUAAGAAAUUAAUUUAAUUGGGGUGAUUGGAAAAUUUAAUAAACUUUUCUUAUAAAUUUAUAUUUAUAGAUAACUAUAUGAUCCCUUUAUUAGGAUUAAAAGAGAAAAUUACCUUAGGGAUAACAGCGUAAUUUUUUUUGAGAGUUCUAAUCGAAAAAAAAGAUUGCGACCUCGAUGUUGGAUUAAAAUAAAAUUUUGGUGUAGAAGCUAAA